AGUCGAACGGCGGCACGGACUUCGGUCUGGUGGCGAGUGGCGAACGGGUGAGUAAUGUAUCCAGACGAUGUGCCUAGUAGCGGGGGAUAACUACGCGAAAGCGUAGCUGUCUGCCGCCCUUCGGGGAAAGCGGGGACCUUCGGGCCUCGCACUAAACAGAGCGGCCGAUAUCGGAUUAGCUUAGUUGGUGGGGUAACGGCUCACCGGGGCGACCUUCGAUCCGUAGCUGGUUUGAAGGACGACCAGCCACGCAGGACCGAGACACGGCCCAGACUCCUACGGGAGAGGCAGCAGUGGGGAAUUUUGGACAAUGGAAACCUGAUCCCAGCCAUCCCGCGUGUUGCGAUGAAGGCCUUCGGAUUUGUAAAGCACUUUUGGCAGGAAAAACAUACGGAUGUGCGUACAGCUGACGUUACCUGCAGAAUAAGCGCACCGGCUAACUACGUGCCGCCAGCAGCCGCGGUAAUACGUAGGGUGCAAGCGUUAAUCGGGAGUACUGGGCGAUAAAGCGUGCGGGCGGUUCGGGAAAGAAAGAUGCUGCUGAAAUCCAAAGAGCUUAACUUUGGAACUGCAUUUUAACUGCAGGCUGAAGUGUGUCAGAGGAGGUGGAAUUCCAGCGUGUAGCAGUGAAAUGCGUAGAUAUGCGGAGGGACUACCAAUGGCGAAGGCGUGCCUCUGGGAUGCACUGACGCUCAUGCAGCGAUGAGCGAACAGGAUUAGAUACCUGGUAGUCCCACCCUAAACGAUGUCAACUAGCUGUUGGGGCCUUCGGGCCUUGGUAGCGCAAUAACGUGAAGUUGACCGCCUGGGGGAAGUACGGUCGCAAGAUUAAAACUCAAGGAAUUGACGGACCACACAAGCAGUGGAUGAUGUGGACAAUUCGAUGCAACGCGAAAAACCUUACUACGCGACAUGUCUGGUCCCAGGAAUUUGGGAGUGCUCAUAAGAGAACCGGAACAACACAGGUGCUGCAUGGCUGUCGUCAGCUCGUGUCGUGAGAUGUUGGGUUAAGUCCCGCAACAGCCUGUGCCCAGUAUUAGUUGCUACGAAAGGGCACUCUAAUGAGACUGCCGGUGCAAACCGGAGGAAGGUGGGGAUGACGUCAAGUCCUCAUGGCCCUUAUGGGUAGGGCUUCACACGUCAUACAAUGGUCAGGACAGAGGGUCGCCAACCCGCGAGGAGCAAUCCCAGAAACCCGAUCAUAGUCCGGAUGCAGUCUGCACAGCUCGACUGCGUGAAGUCGGAAUCGCUAGUAAUCGCGGAUCAGCAUGUCGCGGUGAAUACGUUCCCAGAUCUUCAUAUACACCGUCCUGCGGGAGUGGGUUUACCAGAAGUAGUUAGCCUAACUUAAGCGUAAGGAGGGCGAUUACCGGUAGGAUUCAUGACUGGGGUGAAGUCGUAACAAGGUAA
rnacentral:rRNA from 1 species